rnacentral:misc_RNA from 1 species
CUGAAUUUGUUUGCGUUGUUACUACCAUAUUGUUGUUUUGUAUAGGGUUAUAAGAAAUAACUGCAACAUUAUUAUUUCCUCCAAAAGAUUCGUCUGCAAACAAUACCAUUGUUAUUAAAUCAAUAACAUAUAUAAAUAUUAUUAUGAUAUAAGUAAUACAUGUAUAUUUAUAAAUACCGCCUGGUGGAGGAGGAUCUGUAUUUUCAUUUUCAUUUUGUAUUUUCAUUAUAUUGUUAGUUUUGACACGUGCCAAUACAGGACCAUAAGAGUCUUUUGCUUUUACAGAUUUUUUCAUUUUUUUGCCUUGAUUUAAUAAAAACAUAUCAUGUGUUCUCUUUAAAGAUCGAAAUACAAGAGUAUGUACAGAAUGCCUUUGUACAUCCUAUACAGAAAAAUGUAUGUAAUUUAGCAAUUUCUUAUUUAAAAAUCAUUAUGUACUAUAAUAUAUUUUUUUUGCCCGUAACGUUACUUAAGGGAAAAAUUUCUUUUUUCGGUUUGAUAAUUACACAGUCUAAAAAUGUGAUUAGUAGCUAUUUUAUAAAAAGUAUAGCUUACCAUUUUUAUGAAUGUAAAUAUUGCUUGAAUUAAUAUAAACUUAAAAGUAAAUACUGUAAUUCACGGUCAUGUAAACAAAUAUACUCUAUAGCAUAGAGUAUAGGGUCUAUUAUGUAUGUAUACCGAAAGCACGAUUGCAUACACAGGCUGGAAACUUUGGUAGUGAGGUACGGCUUUUAAUGUUGAGAGAUGUGCUUUACAAAUCGGCCGUUAGUUAUAGCGCUGAGAUCGAUUUGUUAAAGUUUUGCAUUUAAUGCCAUCUUCGUCAUCCUUACCACUGAAGAUAAAGAAUAUGAACUAAACUAUAUUUCACAUAUAACAUUUUGCAAUUUAUUUGAAGUAAACAUAUACCAUUUCACAUUGCGGUGUAGAAAAAUAUUGUUAAAAAAAAUGUAGAUUAGAUAAUAAAGUUCAGUUGUAGUUCUGCUUGCAAGUACAGACAUAAGCUUGCGCUACAUGACAAAACUUAAAAAAUUAAUUGAAGCGCCUUACUUGAGAACACUUGAGAAACGUUUUCCUCUCAUUAAGAGUCUUAUCUCCAUCACAGGAAGUUUCAUGUUGAUUUUUCACGACUCAAUCGUCGAAUGGUUUUCUCUAGGCUCCAAUAUAUGAGUAUCGAGAACUGUUUAUAUGAUCGCG